rnacentral:rRNA from 1 species
AUUGAACGCUGGCGGCAGGCCUAAUACAUGCAAGUCGAACGAGAUUAAGAGGCUUGCUUCUUAUGAAAGUGGCGCACGGGUGCGUAACGCGUAUGCAACCUACCUUAAUCAGGGGGAUAGCCCGAAGAAAUUCGGAUUAAGACCGCAUAAAAACACAGGAUAGCAUUAUCCAAUGUUCAAAUAUUUAUAGGAUUAAGAUGGGCAUGCGUGUCAUUAGCUAGUUGGCGGGUAACGGCCCACCAAGGCGACGAUGACUAGGGAUCUGAGAGGAUCGACCCCCACACUGGUACUGAGACACGGACCAGACUCCUACGGGAGCAGCAGUAAG